AUAAAUUUGUUAUGACCAAAUAUAAAAAUGAUAAGAAGUUAAUCCGAGUAUUUAACCAUCAUCCGUACGUACGGCACCUCGAUCGCUGGGUUCCGAAAGAAAAUUGGUCUCCCAUUAAUCAAUCAAUGCAAUCACGUGAUGUGUAAGGAGUAUUCACAGGGAACUUCGUUAAUUAAUAGAAGACCAAGACCAGGGCGUAGCAACCAGCCAAGUAUCCUUAACAAAUUAUAUUCGUCGGUCUGCCCAACGAGUUUAAUGACCAUAUAUAAAAUAUCGUUUAAUUAAAGAAAACUUGCACGUACUUUUUGGUCUGCUUUGGGCAGAUGCAUGCCUUCACCAAUAAUUUUAUAAUAUUCUAAUGCACUCACCGAGAGCCGAUAUAAUAGCAGGCUAUAAACCGUAUAUAAAUAUAUCUUAAAAAUAAUAAGAGAUAAGAGAAAAGACCCGUGAACUAGUAUGUCUAGAGUAUUCACGUGGGAAGCAGCAUCCCUGAUGAGUUGCUCAACCUGAUGAGGUGCCACGUUUGCAGCGCCUCAACAUCAAAACAUCUGAAUUCAGCAGCAAGGCAAGAUUUGUGAAUUUCAUGGACAAUUUAGUACUGCGCCGUGGUUGCGAACCGCUAGACGCCUUUCACAUUUGUAACUCAAAAAGUAGUUUUACCCUGAACCAUGACGGAGCUAACCUGUGGGUUGGCUAUGCUUUGAGGAGCAAUGUCCGUGAGCUUUGGAUCCAAGAGUGUUAUUAUUAUGAGUGUUUUAACCUAGACCGUUCUUCCUUCCUAUCAUCCCAUCUGAAAAUACUUUGCCUCAAUUAUGUUUCCAUCAGUGACCUCUUCAUUGAUAAUCUCUUUUCUGACAAAGUCAUAGGUGCUGGCCCCUAGUACUGUUGGUCUCAUACGCUUGUUGGACAUUCUCAUCUUUGGGGACUGAUAAAUUAUCCCAAUCUCAGUCAGGGACCUUCACUCAAACACAAUAACCCUGCGCAUAAAACCAGAAAUACACAUGUUUAUAACCAUAUUUCACCAACAAAAAAAGUUUAUAUUUAGCAUAUGACGAUGGCAAGUUCCAAAACCACACCUUUUUUUCUCUCCAUUCCAGAACCCCACGGAUGCUCAUUGCACAUAGCAUAAUACAGUUGCACAAACAACAAAAGUAUACUCCAGUGCAUUACAUAUGAACUACCACCAACUGCACCACCCACCCAAAAAAAUCCCAACAACAGCAGACCUCACAGAUUCACAAUCAUAUCUUGCAUACCGCAAUAAACCAUUGUUAGCCCAUUUCAGCCAAGAUCCAUGCAGGCACCCACGGUACCCAGCAGCAAAUACACAAGCCUUUCGCCUGAUCCAACCAAACCUAAAAGCAAGGAGAAAACAUAGGCCCCAAGAAGCUACAGGACAUAGGAGCCGGAAGAAGAAGAAGAAGAAACAAGGAUAAGAGCACAGAUAGCACAAGGAUAAGAGCACAGAUAGCAGUACGCACCCCCAAGGUGACCGGCGGCGUGCGCUCCGGCGCCACUUCGCACAACCUCCGCGCGCGGCGAGGCCAGCCGGGGGAGCCCUAGGGGUGGGUGGGUGCACACGGCCGGCGGCGCGGCCCGAGCAGAGGAGGCAGUGGUGAGACCCAGA
rnacentral:lncRNA from 1 species